rnacentral:rRNA from 1 species
GCACAAGCGGUGGAGCAUGUGGUUCAAUUCGACGCAACGCGAAGAACCUUACCUGGGCUAGACAGCGGCGGACGGUCCUGGAAACAGGAUUUUCCCUUCGGGGACUGCCGGUUCAGGUGCUGCAUGGCUGUCGUCAGCUCGUGCCGUGAGGUGUUAGGUUAAGUCCUGCAACGAGCGCAACCCUUAUCAUUAGUUGCUACCAUUAAGUUGAGCACUCUAGUGAGACUGCCCGGGUUAACCGGGAGGAAGGUGGGGAUGACGUCAAAUCAUCAUGCCCCUUAUGUCCAGGGCUACACACGUGCUACAAUGGUGAGUACAAUUAGAUGCAAACCCGCGAGGGGGAGCCAGACUAAAAAACUCAUCCCAGUUCGGAUUGUAGGCUGAAACUCGCCUACAUGAAGCUGGAGUUGCUAGUAAUCGCGAAUCAGCACGCCGCGGUGAAUACGUUCCCGGGC